ensembl:lncRNA
AGACUUCUCCAGGUAAAGAGGCUCCUCUCCGCUUACUGGCAAGUCGCGGUAAGAGUGCAGGUGUGAGCAGUUAGCAGCUAAUAGAGCAGGUUGGGUUUUAGAAACACCGUUCUGAGAUUUGCCUAGAAGAGGAAUUGCCAAGGAUAUGCACAGCAUCUACAUUGGAAGAUACUACCUGGCUUUGCAAAACAGUUUUUACUGAUUUAUUUUUCUGCCAGGCAAUCACAUCACCUAUAAAUAACAAGAGGUUUGAGGUUUCCUUCUCAAGUUUGAUGCUUCUCAUUUUAAUUCUUUAUUAGUGCAGUUCAGUCGCUCAGUCAUAUCCGACUCUUUGCGACCCCAUGAAUUGCAGCACGCCAAGCCUCCCUGUCCAUCACCAACUCCUGGAGUUCACCCAAACCCAUGUCCAGCAACCUUUAGCUAUGUAAUAAUUCUGUCUCCCUGUCAAACAUUACAAGAUCUAUUAGCCUGCUUCCUACUACCAAGGAACGAUGCCUCCACCCCAUCUUUUUAUUGAGUUCACAGCUUCUAUUGUACUUUUAAAAAUUCAAAAUAAAUAGUGAUUUUUAUGUGUGCAUGUUUGUGUGUGUGCUGUUUUGUUUCUUCCUUCUGGGUUCAUUUUUCUUCUUGAGGUAAAUCAUUUAAUAGUCCCCGUUGUGAGGAUCAGUAAGUGGUAAAUACUCCAAGUUUCUGAAUGGUGAAAAUGACUUCUUUUUUGUCUUACAACUGAAAGGU